GCCAGUGUCUCCGCCGGUUGAAAGCGCGUGUCUGCGUCGGGUUCUGUUGGAGUGCGUUCGGUGUGCCGUGGGUCCGCGCUGCUUCCACCCAACUUCCUGUUAGAGUUUCUCUCCUGUCACAAUGGCAUGGUCUCGCCUCACUGCGACCUCUGCUUCCUGGGUUCAAGGAUUCUCCUGCCUCAGUCUCCCAAGUAGCUGGGAUUACAGACAUAAGGGUCUUGCUAUUUGCCCAAGCUGGUCUUCAACUCCUGAUCUCAAGUGAUCCACCCGCCUUGGCCUUCCAAAGUGCUGGGAUUACAGAUGUGACCACUGCACCCUGCCCAGAUUUAACUUUUUAAAAGCCUUUAUUUGAAAUAAAGUCACUGUGGUU
ensembl:lncRNA novel transcript